GGGGCCGUAGUGCAGUUUGGUUUAACACGUCGGCCUGUCAAGCCGAAGAUCGCGGGUUCAAAUCCCGUCGGCCCCGCCA
rnacentral:tRNA from 1 species